rnacentral:rRNA from 1 species
GAAUCAACGCUGGGCGGCGUGCCUCAGACAUGCAAGUCGAACGCGAAACGUCCCCGUUCGGGGGACAAGUAGAGUGGCGCACGGGUGAGUAACACGUAGGUAAUCUACCUUUGGAGUGGGGAAUAACAACCGGAAACGGUUGCUAAUACCGCAUAAUGCAGCGGCACCUAAUGGUGACAGUUGUUAAAGGCGGGGGAUCGAAAGACCUCGCGUCUAAAGAGGAGCCUGCGGCGGAUUAGCUAGUUGGUAAGGAAUGGCUUACCAAGGCUACGAUCCGUAACCGGCCUGAGAGGGCGGUCGGUCACACUGACACUGACAUACGGGUCAGACUCCUAC